rnacentral:tRNA from 1 species
AUUUAUAUAGUUUAAGCUCUAAAACAUUAUAUUUUCAAUAUAAAAAAAAUAAAUUUUAUUUAUAAAUU